UAGUAGGUCACUAAUUAAUCAAUCUCUC
rnacentral:piRNA from 1 species